AUACAGAAACAGGAAAUAUAUAAAUGCAAACAAAAAUUCAUUGGCAACAUAUAUUGAAUAAACAAUGCAUCACUUUUUGAUAAGAUUGUGACGUAACCAUCAGGAUACGGAUAUGU
rnacentral:sRNA from 14 species